AACGUAGGAGGCGUACGUUAUCCGGAUUUACUGGGUGUAAAGCGCGUGCAGGCGGCCUUGUAAGGCGUGCGUGAAAGCGCCUGGCUCAACCGGGCGAGGACGGGCGCAACUGCAAGGCUGGAGGCGGGUAGAGGGGCGUGGAAUGCCGGGUGUAGUGGUGGAAUGCGUAGAGAUCCGGAGGAACACCAGUGGCGAAGGCGACGCGCCGGGCCUGGCCUGACGUUAAGACGCGAAAGCAUGGGGAGCGAACGGG
rnacentral:rRNA from 1 species